UCCCAGGCUUUUCAAAAGCCACCUACUGUAUAAUAAAAAAAUUAU
rfam:Sarcophilus harrisii ctg7180002512301, whole genome shotgun sequence.